CGACCCACGCGCGGAGCUGCCGGGGGCUCCUUAGCACCUGGGCGCCGGGACCCUCGCCCUUCCGCAGCCUUCACUCCAGCCCUCUGCUCCCGCACGCCAUGAGGUCGCCUUUCUACCGCUGCCAGAACACCACCUCGGUGGAAAAGGGCAACUCGGCGAUGAUGGGCGCGGUGCUCUUCAGCACCGGCCUCUUGGGCAACCUGCUGGCCCUGGGGCUGCUGGCGCGCUCGGGGCUGGGGUGGUGCUCCCCGCGUUCACUGCGCCCGCCGCCCUCGGUCUUCUACGUGCUGGUGUGUGGCCUGACGGUCACCGACUUGCUGGGCAAGUGCCUCCUAAGCCCCGUGGUGCUGGCUGCCUACGCUCAGAACCGGAGUCUACGGGUGCUUGCGCCCGCAUUGGACAACUCGCUGUGCCAAGCAUUCGCCUUCUUCAUGUCCUUCUUUGGGCUCUCCUCGACACUGCAACUCCUGGCCAUGGCACUGGAGUGCUGGCUCUCCCUAGGGCACCCCUUCUUCUACCGACGGCACAUCACCCUGCGCCGGGGCGCACUGGUGGCCCCAGUGGUGAGCGCCUUCUGCCUGGCUUUCUGUGCGCUACCUUUCAUGGGCUUCGGGAAGUUAGUGCAGUACUGCCCCGGCACCUGGUGCUUUAUCCAAAUGGUCCACGAGGAGGGCUCGCUGUCGGUGCUGGGGUACUCUGUGCUCUACUCCAGCCUCAUGGCGCUGCUGGUCUUCGCCACCGUGCUGUGCAACCUCGGCGCCAUGCGCAACCUCUACGCGAUGCACCGGCGGCUGCAGCAGCAGCGGCGCUCCUGCACCAGGGACCGUGCCGAUCCGCGUGCGGACGGGAGGGAAGCGUCCCCGCAGCCCCUGGAGGAGCUGGAUCACCUUCUGCUGCUGGCACUGAUGACCGUGCUCUUCACUAUGUGUUCUCUGCCCGUAAUUGCAUUUGUUCCUGGAGUCCCCGCCAAGACACCUGGGAGUAGGUGAGACUUGAGGAAACUUUUUCAGUGUUGCUUCUCUCCUUUCUCCUACCCCCAAGUAUCGCGCUUACUAUGGAGCAUUUAAGGAUAUCAAGGAGAAGAUCAGGACCUCUGAAGAAGCAGAAGACCUCCGAGCCUUGAGAUUUCUAUCUGUGAUUUCAAUUGUGGACCCUUGGAUUUUUAUCAUUUUCAGAACUCCGGUAUUUCGGAUAUUUUUUCACAAGAUUUUCAUAAGACCUCUUACGUACAGGAACUGGUGCAGCAGUUCCACUCACAUGGAAUCCAGUCUGUGACGGUGUUUUUCACUCUGUGGUGCGCUGAAGAAUAUGUCACAUG